rnacentral:rRNA from 1 species
GACGAACGCUGGCGGCGUGCUUAACACAUGCAAGUCGAACGGAAAGGCCCUGCUUGCCGGGUACUCGAGUGGCGAACGGGUGAGUAACACGUGGGUGAUCUGCCCUGCACUUCGGGAUAAGCCUGGGAAACUGGGUCUAAUACCGGAUAGGAGCCAUUUUUAGUGUGAUGGUUGGAAAGUUUUUUUCGGUGUAGGAUGAGCUCGCGGCCUAUCAGCUUGUUGGUGGGGUAAUGGCCUACCAAGGCGGCGACGGGUAGCCGGCCUGAGAGGGUGGACGGCCACAUUGGGACUGAGAUACGGCCCAGACUCCUACGGGAGGCAGCAGUGGGGAAUAUUGCACAAUGGGCGCAAGCCUGAUGCAGCGACGCCGCGUGGGGGAUGACGGCCUUCGGGUUGUAAACUCCUUUCGCUAGGGACGAAGCUUUUUGUGACGGUACCUAGAUAAGAAGCACCGGCUAACUACGUG